GUCACCCAGUUUAAGUUGUUGAAGAGAAAAAUACUAUUCAUUCAUUUUCCUGCAUCCAUAUUUUAAUUGCCAGCCCAGGGAUUUCAAACUGUGGGUAAUUGCCUCAAUUUUGUGCAUGCAUGCACACAAAAAAGUGAAUCCAGCAAAGAGCUUGUAAAUGUGGGGAGAAAAGGAGAAUAACUAUCCUCUUAACUCAAGGAUUAGCACCAACCAAUGUACAUGCUGCUUGCAACAGAACCAAGAAGACAGAAAUGGUGCAGAAAUAAUGCUGUUGGCGUUCUGACGAGGACUGUUGGUAGCUGUGGCUCUUGACAUCCUGGAGUUAGCAUUAGCAUUAGCCCGCUUCAGUGCCUCGAUGGAAACUGGAGAAAGUGCAUUAUAUG